rnacentral:rRNA from 1 species
UCAGUAACGGCGAGUGAAGCGGCAAGAGCUCAAAUUUGAAAUCCGGCCCCCCCGGGGCCUGAGUUGUAAUUUGCAGAGGAUGCUUCGGGCGCGACCGCGGUCCAAGUCCCCUGGAACGGGGCGUCGUAGAGGGUGAGAAUCCCGUCUCCGGCCGGCCGGUCUCGCCCGUGUGAAGCUCCUUCGACGAGUCGAGUUGUUUGGGAAUGCAGCUCCAAAUGCGCUGUAAAUUUCAUCUAAAGCUAAAUACUGGUCGGAGACCGAUAGCGCACAAGUAGAGUGAUCGAAAGAUGAAAAGCACUUUGAAAAGAGAGUUAAACAGCAUGUGAAAUUGUUGAAAGGGAAGCGCUUGCGACCAGAGUCGGCCGCGGGGGUUCAGCGGGCAUUCGUUGCCCGUGCAAUCCCCGCGGCCGGGCCAGCGUCGGUUUCGACGGCCGGUCAAAGGCCCCCGGAAUGUGUCGCCUCUCGGGGCGUCUUAUAGCCGGGGGUGCAAUGCGGCCAGUCGGACCGA